rnacentral:misc_RNA from 1 species
AAGUCGUAACAAGGUUUCCGUAGGUGAACCUGCGGAAGGAUCAUUAGUGAAUAAACUAGUGUAGGUUGUGCUGGCCUUCUUGGUAUGUGCACGCCUACCAAUGUUUCAUUCUAUCUUCCCACCUGUGCACUUUGUGUAGAUUCUGUAUGCUAUUGUCAGGCCUUUAUUGUGCUUGGUUGAGAGGAGUUGCCUGUUUUCACAGACAAGGCUCUCUUUGGGCAUGCAGGUCUAUGUUUUAUAUCAACACUAUAAUGUCAUAGAAUGUGCUUUGGGCUUUUAGCCUUUAAAACAUAUACAACUUUCAACAACGGAUCUCUUGGCUCUC